rnacentral:rRNA from 1 species
GAGUUUGAUCAUGGCUCAGGAUGAACGCUGGCGGCGUGCCUAAUACAUGCAAGUCGAGCGAACAGACGGGGAGCUUGCUCCCCUGACGUUAGCGGCGGACGGGUGAGUAACACGUGGGUAACCUACCUAUAAGACUGGAAUAACUCCGGGAAACCGGGCUAAUGCCCGAUAACAUGUUGGACCGCAUGGUCCUACAGUGAAAGACGGUCUUGCUGUCACUUAUAGGUGGACCCG